GGAUCUCUUGUUUUGCAGCCAACAGAGGAAGCGGGGCGGCCGGCAGCUCGCAGACCGGCGACGCACUGGGGAAAGCACUUGCAUCUAUCUAUUCUCCAGAUCACACCAACACCAGCUUCCCAUCCAACCCUUCAACUCCUGUCGGUUCUCCCCCUUCUCUCUCAGCAGGCCCAGCUGUUUGGUCUAGAAACGGAGCUCAAGCGUCAUCAUCUCCCAAUUAUGAAGGUCCCUUACACUCUUUGGUAGGUUGCCAUCGACGGCCCUCCUCUUCCUCCUGCUCGGGCUUCAUGAAUUGCUCCUCCUUGUUUGUUCCGUUUCUCAUCCAUCCCCUCUUCCUCCCCCCCUUUUCCC